AGAUUGAACGCUGGCGGCAGGCCUAACACAUGCAAGUCGAGCGGUAGAGAGGUGCUUGCAUCUCUUGAGAGCGGCGGACGGGUGAGUAAUGCCUAGGAAUCUGCCUAGUGGUGGGGGAUAACGUUCGGAAACGGACGCUAAUACCGCAUACGUCCUACGGGAGAAAGCGGGGGACCUUCGGGCCUCGCGCCAUUAGAUGAGCCUAGGUCGGAUUAGCUAGUUGGUGAGGUAAUGGCUCACCAAGGCGACGAUCCGUAACUGGUCUGAGAGGAUGAUCAGUCACACUGGAACUGAGACACGGUCCAGACUCCUACGGGAGGCAGCAGUGGGAAUAUGGACAAUGGGCGAAAGCCUGAUCCAGCCAUGCCGCGUGUGUGAAGAAGGUCUUCGGAUUGUAAAGCACUUAAGUUGGAGAAGGCAAUUACCUAAUACGUAUCUGUUUUGACUUACGACAGAAUAAGCACCGGCUAAACUCUGUGCCAG
rnacentral:rRNA from 1 species